AACAAGGUCUCCGUUGGUGAACCAGCGGAGGGAUCAUUAUCGAGUUAUUCAACUCCCAAACCCUAUGUGAACUUACCACUUGUUGCUUCGGCGCGCGCUUCGGCGCCGCCGAGGACACUUAAACUCUUUGUUUUUAUAAGCAUUUCUGAGUGGCCGAAAGGCAAAAAUACAAAUGAAUCAAAACUUUCAACAACGGAUCUCUUGGUUCUGGCAUCGAUGAAGAACGCAGCGAAAUGCGAUAAGUAAUGUGAAUUGCAGAAUUCAGUGAAUCAUCGAAUCUUUGAACGCACAUUGCGCCCGCCAGCAUUCUGGCGGGCAUGCCUGUUCGAGCGUCAUUUCAACCCUCGAGCCCGACUCUUUUGAGGACGGCUCGGCGUUGGGGGACGGCAGACUCCCCCCGGCAUCUCGCCGGGGACGCCGCCCCCGAAAUCUAGUGGCGGCCCUCCGAGGCGACCUCUGCGUAGUAACUUGUUCUCGCACCAGAAAGCUCAGAGCGGCCACGCCGUAAAACCCCAACUUUUUUCAGGUUGACCUCGAAUCAGGUAGGACUACCCGCUGAACUUAAGCAUAUCAAUA
rnacentral:rRNA from 1 species